GAUGAAGAACGCAGCGAAAUGCGAUACUUGGUGUGAAUUGCAGAAUCCCGUGAACCAUCGAGUCUUUGAACGCAAGUUGCGCCCGAAGCCACUAGGCCGAGGGCACGCCUGCCUGGGCGUCACACGCCGUUGCCCCCCCAUCUACUCCUUCGGGAUUGCGGGGGGGCGGAUGAUGGCCUCCCGUGCGCCUAGCCGCGCGGUUGGCAUAAAUACCAAGUCCUCGGCGACGCACGCCACGACAAUCGGUGGUUGCGAAACCUCGGUUGCCCGUCGUGUGCGUUCGUCGCGCAUCGAGGGCUCGAAAAAAUGCUCGGCUCCGGCUGGGCUUUCAACGCGACCCCAGGUCAGGCGGGGUUACCCGCUGAAUUUAAGCAUAUCAAUAAGGAGGA
rnacentral:misc_RNA from 1 species